CCCGCGGGAGUCGCGGCGCUGCGGGUUGGACCCAGGUUGAAGGGGCCCCUAGGUUCCGUGGGGAGUCCGUGCCGGAGCGACGCCUGAGGCCUGCGAGCGAACUGGGCGGCGGCAUGCGGCGCCGCUGAGGGUGCUGCCGCGCGCGGUCCCAGGCCGCCCUGAGUCCUGAGCUAUUCGAAGGAGGAGCAGCGCCUGGGGCCGAGGAGCGGGGCAGACGCGGACGCUGCCGGAGCUCCAGCCGACGCGGCGUCUCCGGUCGUAGGUUGGCGCUUUGGGGUCGGGGACUGAAGCUUGGGCGCUGCCUGCCCAAGCGGAGAUCCGGGUUUGCCUCCCGCCCCCGCUCAGGACCCUGACGCGGGUGAGGCGGCCCCGGGAGCAUGAGCGGGCAGCGCGUGGACGUCAAGGUGGUGAUGCUGGGCAAGGAGUACGUGGGCAAAACGAGCCUGGUGGAACGAUACGUGCACGACCGCUUCCUGGUGGGGCCCUAUCAGAAUACCAUCGGGGCCGCCUUCGUGGCCAAGGUGAUGUCCGUUGGAGACCGGACGGUGACUUUAGGUAUUUGGGAUACAGCAGGCUCUGAGCGCUACGAGGCCAUGAGCCGAAUCUACUAUCGGGGCGCCAAGGCUGCCAUCGUCUGCUAUGACCUGACGGACAGCAGCAGUUUUGAGCGGGCAAAGUUCUGGGUGAAGGAACUGCGCAACCUAGAGGAGGGCUGUCAGAUCUACCUGUGUGGCACCAAGAGUGACCUGCUGGAAGAGGACAGGCGCCGCCGCCGUGUGGACUUCCAUGACGUCCAGGACUAUGCAGACAAUAUCAAAGCUCAGCUCUUUGAAACAUCCAGCAAGACAGGCCAGAGUGUGGACGAGCUCUUCCAGAAAGUGGCAGAGGACUACGUCAGUGUGGCUGCCUUCCAGGUGAUGACAGCAACUGCUGGCCCUGCUGCACUGGCCCUAGGAAGCUCAGCUGAGAGCUAACUGGCCACAGCCAACGAAAGUCCCAUGCAGCAGCUGCCUAGCUCUAAGUGAUCUGGAAUGGCUAACACAUGAAGCAGCCCAAGCAUUAUUUAGCAGGGAAAGGGGCUUGUGGCAGCUCCUUUCUUGCCAUGAUCUCAGGGGAAUCUGCCAGGACCAGACUUCCUUCCUGCCAUUCUGUUCUCAUGAUGUGACCUGGGAGUCCAGCUCCAGUGAGGAGAUGCUGCUGAGCCUGGGAAAGGAUCGCUGAUGCACUUCGUGCCCUGACUGUAGUGUGGGGUAGAGAAUGUGAAGAUAAAAUAAUUAUUUCCAUCAAUGCUAAAGAUGCAGGUUUGGUAGUUGUUCAAUUAAGAGGAUCAACACAGUGACUUAAAUCACCUCAAACUCAGUAACUUUUGGGGGAAGCAGACAUUUAAAAACUGGGAUCCUUCUGUAGCAAUGACAGUUAUUUUGCUAUUAGAAUGGGUUUACUCCAGCAGGAGAAGCAAA